GAUGAACGCUGGCGGCGUGCCUAAUACAUGCAAGUCGAGCGAACGGACGAGAAGCUUGCUUCUCUGAUGUUAGCGGCGGACGGGUGAGUAACACGUGGAUAACCUACCUAUAAGACUGGGAUAACUUCGGGAAACCGGAGCUAAUACUGGAUAAUAUUUUGAACCGCAUGGUUCAAAAGUGAAAGACGGUCUUGCUGUCACUUAUAGAUGGAUCCGCGCUGCAUUAGCUAGUUGGUAAGGUAACGGCUUACCAAGGCAACGAUGCAUAGCCGACCUGAGAGGGGGAUCGGCCACACUGGAACUGAGACACGGUCCAGACUCCUACGGGAGGCAGCAGUAGGGAAUCUUCCGCAAUGGGCGAAAGCCUGACGGAGCAACGCCGCGUGAGUGAUGAAGGUCUUCGGAUCGUAAAACUCUGUUAUUAGGGAAGAACAUAUGUGUAAGUAACUGUGCACAUCUUGACGGUACCUAAUCAGAAAGCCACGGCUAACUACGUG
rnacentral:rRNA from 1 species